rnacentral:rRNA from 1 species
UGGUUCUCAAAAAAAGAAUUUUAGUCCAACCUAAAGUUACACAAAUUUACAUAAAUUUCUCCACUCACUUUAGAGCAAUUCAAAUGAGGUACAGCCCAUUUGAUACAGGAUCCAACCUUUACUAACGGGUAAUAUCUGACUCCACCCCAAGUAGGCUUAAGAGCAGCCACCUUUUAAAAAGCGUCAAACCUUAACAUAUUAACACCAAUUCAUAACCCCCCCAUCAACCCCUUUCACCCUACUGAGAACUUCUAUAACAUUAUAGAACCUUUAAUGUUAAAACUAGUAACAAGAGAUACACCCUCUCUAUGAUGCAAACUCAAACCAGCAAGAACCUCUCACUGGUGAUUAACAGAAACAAAGUAGUAACUUUCUCAAGAAAACUCUACUCCCUCAACUGUUAACCUAACACAAGAGCAUCCCAAGAAAGAUUUAAAGAAAAAGAAGGAACUCGGCAAAUAUCAAUCUCGCCUGUUUACCAAAAACAUCGCCUCUUGUCACCUAUAAGAGGUCCAGCCUGCCCAGUGACUCUUGUUCAACGGCCGCGGUAUCCUAACCGCGCGAAGGUAGCGUAAUCACUUGUCUUUUAAAUAAAGACUAGUAUGAAAGGCACCACGAAGAUUAAACUGUCUCCUCUCUCCAAUCAGUGAACCUAAUCUCCCCGUGAAAAAGCGGGAAUUUUUAUAUAAGCCCAAGUGGUGUAGCCGCUACUAAAGGUUCGUUUGUUCAACGAUUAAAACCCCACGUGAUCUGAGUUCAGACCGGAGUAAUCCAGGUCAGUUUCUAUCUAUAAUAGUGCUAUUUUUAGUACGAAAGGACCAAAAUAGCUCGGCCAAUACCUCUGGCAAGCCGUUAUUAAUUAAUUUAGACUUCCACUCAAAAACUAUUAACCUAACACCCACUUCAAGAAAA